CAAAAGAUGACUGGAUAGAAUACAACAGGCCUCAGCCUCAGUUUUCAAGCGGCAGUUAGGAAAUAUUGGAGAAGGCCUCCCUAAGAUACAUCAGGCCCAGACUGUGUGAUGCUUACAACUCUGUUUACAGGCACUACUGUAACACACCACAGCUGUGUUCUGAAUGGCUUCUCAGCAAUCUGGCAGUGCGUGCUUUCCCCUCAUUCAGAGCACUGGAGAAGAGUAGUGAGGAAGAGGAGGAAAAUAACUCACAUCUGGCAUGGAGAGGAAGCACUGGGCACAUCAGUGGCCUGUAUGGGGAACUUCCACAGGCCUGGUUCAUAUGUAACACCAAACUGGAACUAAACAUGGCAGAGGUUGGAACUCCACUAUGUCCGAACACGUGAAACUGCACUUUUGCAGCAAAAGCUACCUCCAGUUAACCUCGGCAAACUCCAUCUUGAAGCUUCUGUUUGCACAAAGAUUCGGCACUGAGACCUCUGGUUUGGCUGCUGAAGCAUUAUGUCUGACUCCGUUCUCCGCCAUAACUGCAGUUUUGCGCUGAUUUUCGAACCAGAACCAUAGUGGAGGAGGUGCAGACCCACUCAGGGAUGAGGCGCUACUCUAUACCAACAGUGCUUCUUGCUGGCUGCUGCUUGGAGAACUAGCACUGCCUGUCCUGCCACCUAUGUGGCUAUGGAGUUGCCUGGCAACAGGGACGCUGCAGUGCCCCAUUGCAGCCUUGCCAUCCUCUCAAUGGGAAUUCCCUAUUCCAACUCUGUCCCUCGCUCCCCCCACCUGGCAAGCAAGAGGGAAAGGGGACAGGAUGACAGCAUGGGCACCAAGUGCUUUGCUCCCCAAGAAGUAAGCGACAGUAUCUUCUGUAUACAAUAUGUGGUGUAUGUUCACAAGCACAAACACUCCUAGUGGCAACAUUAGCAGGGAACCCCGUCCCAGCACCGGGAAGGGAACAUUUGGCAUGUAGGGGGUUCCUGUGGUCAGGUUUAAAAAGCAGCCGCAAGCAGAGAUCCUGGAGCAGCCAAGCUCUCUCUCUUUUUUAACAGAAAGGUUGGGGAAGGGGGCCCAGCCCCUUCAUCAUGGGUGUUAUCGGUCCCUAGGCUUAUUCAUGAGAAGAACCAUCUGCGAGGAGUGUGUGUGUGUGUGUGUGUGUUUGGGAAUGCUCUUGUUGCAUUCUGCAAUCCUUCCCAUCUUUGAGCACUAAUGUAAUAUUUACUAGAUGGUAUUCGAGCACUUGCCACCCAUUGUCCCAUUGACCACUGUCAGACUCCCAGGGGACAGGGUGGACUCCUAGCCCUUCUUGAACUCCAGAAUGACUGGGUAAGCAUGUGCGUGCACAUAAAUGCACACACACACACACAUACACACACACAGUCAGCUUCAGGAACAGCCAGGGGAGGAAGUUAGUUUGUCACGUGAGUCGUCCUCCUAGCUUGCUGAAUUCAGCCAGUUCUCUCUCCUGGAGAAUUCCCAGCUCCCAUACUCAGAAACAGCCCAUCAUCAGCUGCCUUGUCUUUAAAUACCCCAGUCCAGAGCUGACAGGGCUGAAAGCCUGCUUCCAGCCCCUCCACUUUCCUGACACUUCCUGUAUCCUGCCACACCCAAUCUAGCUGUACCUGGGAAUUUUGAAUGGGUUUAAAGGUCCAUCCCAGAACCCAGUGUCUCACCUGUCAGUGCAAAUGCUUGGGAGGCAGGCCUAAGUGGGUAUUCUGGAGCAGCCAAGCGCUAUUUUUUCCACUGAACGGUUGGGGAAGGAGGGGGGGCAGCCCCUUCCCAGGGGAGUGGUAGAUUUUGCUAUCUAGUCUGACUCAUGAGAAAGGUCAUCUGGCAGCACAAGUGUAAAAUGUACUAGGUAGUACUCUUGUGAGUAGCUGUCGGACAGGAUGACAGUACAGGCACCCCUUGCUCCCCAAGAUAAACAAAUGUGACCUUUGCAUUCCCAACAAGCUAAAAGAUUGUUCAAAGAAUGGUUACCAUUUCUUAAUCCUUGCUCUGUGCUUUGAAGAUUUCUGUUUUCCAUGUUGAGCUAGAAGUCCCAUCAAAGAAAUUGAGAUAAAUAUCCAGCCCUACCCUAAAUGCUUCUUCCUGGCCCUUCUUCCUUCCUUCCUUCCUGGCCUGCCCCCUCACCCCCAUCUAUAAAUUUUCCCAAUCAGGGCAUGCCCUCUUUUGUUUUUAGCUUGGAAUUCCUGCUAGCUCUUAUUAGCAAGCAUAAGAUCAUUGUUUCAAACCCCCAAAGGCUCCUUCAGAGUGACUUUUCUGGUUUUCUGCAUCUUCAGCAUUUAUGCUAAAGUUCCAAGCAAGUAGCAAACUUUAAAGCCUGUUUGCUGAGUCUCAUCAUUAUCAGGCCACUGACUGUACUGUUCCUUCUACUGGCUAAGACGGAGAAGGGGAAUCACCAGAAUGAGUAUGGCAAGUGAUUUUGUGGAAUCUUGCUUAGAAUGUAACUUUCAAACUUCCCAGGAUCAUAACCCAGGGGCAACUAUUAUACAGACACAUAGUGGGAGAAAUAUACUUUGCAUAAACAAGUAGCUGGGGGCCAAUUCACAAAAGUGAAUUGAUACAUAUAACAGGCAGGCAGUAUAUAAAUAUGAUAGACAGAUAGACAAAUAGACAGACAGAUGCAGCUGCGGAUAAGCCUCGACAUAGUGAGAACCUCCAGGUUGACUAUAAAAUUAAAUUGGUAAUUAAUUGACUUGUUUUCUUUUUGUAUUCUGCCCUUCCUCCAAGAAGCUCAGGCGUGUACAAGGUUUUCACCCACUAAUUUUAUCUCACAACACCCAGUGAGGUGUUUCAGGCUGCGAGAUGGUGAUAGGCCCAAGGUCACCAAUGGUCUUCAUGGUUGAGUGGUGAUCUGAAUCCUGAUCUCCACUGGCCUAAGUUGGGCACUGUCUUCAACCACACCAGCUUCCUAUUGGUUCUAAAAUAUGCUCCAACCACCUGCAGACAAUUCCCAAUUCAGCCCCACCAUCAGUGCUGCCACCUGCUUGCUUACCCUCUAUUAGCUUCAGAUAUUUUUUUUGUACAGUGCAAUUAAGAACUAGGAAAUCAUAGUGCACCACAGAUUCCUUGUUCUUUUUUGUUGCUACAAGAAGAAAUAAGUUUCUGAUACUGACAGAUUAUCUGUAGGUAGGCUGUAAUUGGCGGCACUGUAAGAGUACUGGAAAGGAUUCUCCACAGGAGACUCUGGAGCAGCUGUCAACUUGUAAAUAUAAUAAAUAAAUAAAUCAUCCAGA